AUGCUUAGGGCUGUUUUGAAGAAUAAUAAGAAAAUGUGGGAGGAAUGCUUGCCUCAUAUUGAAUUUGCUUAUAAUCGUUCAUUGCAUUCUACUACUAAGAUGUGCCCUUUUGAAGUUGUGUAUGGUUUCCUACCUCGUGCACCUAUUGAUUUGUUGCCUCUUCCAUCUUCGGAGAAGGUUAAUUUUGAUGCUAAACAACGUGCUGAAUUGAUUUUAAAAAUGCAUGAGUUAACUAAGGAAAACAUUGAGCGUAUGAAUGCUAAAUAUAAACUUGCUGGAGAUAAGGGUAGAAAACAUGUUGUGUUUGCACCUGGAGAUCUUGUUUGGUUACAUUUGCGUAAGGAUAGAUUUCCUGAUUUGCGCAAAUCAAAGCUAAUGCCACGUGCUGAUGGUCCCUUUAAGGUGUUAGAGAAAAUAAAUGAUAAUGCAUAUAAACUUGAGCUGCCUGCAGAUUUUGGGGUUAGUCCCACUUUUAACAUUGCAGAUUUGAAGCCUUAUUUGGGUUCGGAAGAUGAACUUCCGUCGAGGACGACUUCAUUUCAAGAAGGGGAGGAUGAUGAGGACAUCAAUACAAUUGUUACACCCACAGCCCCUGCUGCUAUACAUACUGGACCAAUUACUAGAGCUCGAAACAGACCCUCGUGGUCAGGUUGA
rnacentral:rRNA from 1 species